UACAGGGGGGGCAAGCGUUGUUCGGAAUUACUGGGCGUAAAGGGCCAGUAGGCGGCCAACUAAGUCCGACGUGAAAUCCCCAGGCUUAACCUGGGAACUGCGUCGGAUACUGGAUGGCUUGAAUUCGGGAGAGGAUGGCAGAAUUCCAGGUGUAGCGGUGAAAUGCGUAGAUAUCCGGAGGAACACCGGUGGUGUAGACGGCUCUCUGGACCGCGACUGACGCUGAGACACGAAAGCGUGGGUAGCAAACAGG
rnacentral:rRNA from 1 species